GAGGGGUAGAAAUCGAAAGAUUCAUUGUAACGUCCCCUGUACUUGUCUGCAAAUUCGAAUAACUGAAUUGGAUUUCCUUAACAGCUCCGUAGAGUAAUUGGAAUCAACCCCUUGGAAGACUAAUGAAGCAGCGGAAAGUGCAGCGGCAGCAUCGGCUGCGGCUUCGGAGCCUAGUGAAUCAGAAGUUAUUUUAUAGAGUGUUCGAGGGGUGUCCAUGUCUUCGGGCCGCUCCCAAUAUUAGUGAUCAUCUUUUCCAUCCCCC